AUUGAACGCUGGCGGCAGGCUUAACACAUGCAAGUCGAGCGGGGGAAGGUAGCUUGCUACUGGACCUAGCGGCAGACGGGUGAGUAAUGCUUAGGAAUCUGCCUAUUAGUGGGGGACAACAUCUCGAAAGGGAUGCUAAUACCGCAUACGUCCUACGGGAGAAAGCAGGGGAUCUUCGGACCUUGCGCUAAUAGAUGAGCCUAAGUCGGAUUAGCUAGUUGGUGGGGUAAAGGCCUACCAAGGCGACGAUCUGUAGCGGGUCUGAGAGGAUGAUCCGCCACACUGGGACUGAGACACGGCCCAGACUCCUACGGGAGGCAGCAGUGGGGAAUAUUGGACAAUGGGGGGAACCCUGAUACAGCCAUGCCGCGUGUGUGAAGAAGGCCUUAUGGUUGUAAAGCACUUUAAGCGAGGAGGAGGCUACUUUAGUUAAUACCUAGAGAUAGUGGACGUUACUCGCAGAAUAAGCACCGGCUAACUCUGUGCCAGCCGCCGCUGUAA
rnacentral:rRNA from 1 species